ACUCCUACGGGAGGCAGCAGUAGGGAAUUUUCGCAAUGGACGCAAGUCUGACGAAGCAAUGCCGCGUGAGGGAUGAAGGUUUUCGGAUUGUAAACCUCUGUUUAUAAGGGAAGAAACCUGAUAUAGGAAAUGAUAUCAGCUUGACGGUACCUUAUCAGAAAGGGACGGCUAACUACGUGCCAGCAGCCGCGGUAAUACGUAGGUCCCGAGCG
rnacentral:rRNA from 1 species